AAAAAACUAGGAUCACUUCUGGCUCGAAAUUGGCCAUUUGGGUUUCGAGUUCUUUAAAAAUUGGGAUUUGUGGUUGAAUUUCGGGCCCUAAUAUGAAAGUGGGAGUGUUGCAGACGACAUUUUACGCUCAAGGGUUUUGGGUUGACGAAAUUGCUUCUUGCACUGUCAAAGAAAGUGACAGAAAUACUAACUUGUCCUUAAAUUGCUACAAAUACGAAACUACAAUGGCAAAAUUGACGGAAUUGAAACAACAAGGUCAAAAGUAGUUGAACUGCCAAACUACAUGGACUAAAAGUGACUUUUAGCCAUUCAUAAAUAAUUGGAUUUUUUUUUGGACUUUUAAGAAGUUAAUACACAGUGGACUAUAUUUGAAAGAAGGCAAAUAUAUAAGUUUAAUUUUUUUUUUUCCCAAGUUCUAUUAUGUUUGUUUUGCUCACUCUUUUCUGGCCUUAGUGCUUCAUGUGUAUUUGAAUUUGGCUGGAACCCUCUGGUAAGGAGCUUUGUUCUUUUUUUUGGGUGAAAAAAGUUUGGGAGGAGGAGAAGCUAUCUCAUAGGGCCAUGACAUAUUAAGGUCUCUUUGAGGACUUACAAAGGGGAUCUUAACCAUUUUUUUUUAUUUUUAUAGAUU
rnacentral:lncRNA from 1 species